CUUUUUUGUUGAGGCAUUGGAAAAUGACCAGGUUGAUACAAAUGUAAGGGUCACAUACAUGGAAUGUUUUGAUGGCACUAUCGACCCAAAGGACCAUGUUGGGUAUUAUGAAAGUCUAAUGUAUGUCCUCAACUAUACCGAAACCAUAAAAUGUCGGCUGUUUGUAUCUAACUUGAAACAUGCUCGGGCAGGGUUCACCUCACUCACUCCCUUGAGCUUUUGACCUUGGACUGAACUUCGGGAUACUUUCAUUGAACGUUUCAUCGACAAUUGUUUGAGUGAAGUACUUACCUUCUGUCUCAUGCAAUUGAAACAAGGAGAAAUUUCUCAAGGCUGAC
rnacentral:lncRNA from 1 species